UUUGUUUACCUUUUCUCAUGCGUUUUGCUUAGCGUUUUGUAUAAUACAAUUUGUUUGCUUUAUUUCAUGAUUUGAUUUAUUUUGUGAAUAAUAAUUUUAGUCAAAACAUUCUCGGGUGAAAUCAAAUUUUAACGAGUCCUGAUUUAUUGGAACUAAUUUAUUGCGAUCGCAACUUUCGUAACAUAUCAAUUAUUUUAUGUACGAAAAUAAACGUUGGAUAAUGUCACAAGAAAUUAAAUUUAAAAUUCUGGAUAACCAAAAACUUCUUGAGUCUAUUUCUAACGAAGUUCUUGAUACAUGUCCUGCUAAUAUGAUAAAGGUUGUGAAUGAAUUUCGACAACGAAUUAAUACUUCCAUUACAAAAUUGAUUGAAGAUCAAGAUCAGAAUUCAGGAGACUUUAUGACAGAAUAUGAAGGUGACAGUGAUGAUGAUGAUGAAGAUAUUAAAGUAAGUCCCAAGAAAAGAAAAAAGUAGUUUACUAGUUAUUUAUUAGUUUGUUGGGAUUUGGGGAAAGUGAAUAAAGCUUAUUGUUAUACCUUUUA